rnacentral:rRNA from 2 species
GGUCGAAAGGUUCUAGUAUAGCACUAUACUGUGAAACUGCGAAUGGCUCAUUAAAUCAGUUAUCGUUUAUUUGAUAGUACCUUACUACUUGGAUAACCGUGGUAAUUCUAGAGCUAAUACAUGCUAAAAACCUCGACUUCGGAAGGGGUGUAUUUAUUAGAUAAAAAACCAAUGCCCUUCGGGGCUCCUUGGUGAUUCAUAAUAACUUAUCGAAUCGCAUGGCCUUGUGCCGGCGAUGGUUCAUUCAAAUUUCUGCCCUAUCAACUUUCGAUGGUAGGAUAGUGGCCUACCAUGGUUUCAACGGGUAACGGGGAAUUAGGGUUCUAUUCCGGAGAGGGAGCCUGAGACACGGCUACCACAUCCAAGGAAGGCAGCAGGCGCGCAAAUUACCCAAUCCCGACGCGGGGAGGUAGUGACAAUAAAUACUGAUACAGGACUCUUUUGGGUCUUGUAAUUGGAAUGAGUACAAUUUAAAUCCCUUAACGAGGAACAAUUGGAGGGCAAGUCUGGUGCCAGCAGCCGCGGUAAUUCCAGCUCCAAUAGCGUAUAUUAAAGUUGUUGCAGUUAAAAAGCUCGUAGUUGAACCUUGGGCCUGGCUGGCCGGUCCGCCUCACCGCGUGCACUGGUCCGGCCGGGCCUUUCCUUCUGGGGAGCCGCAUGCCCUUCACUGGGUGUGUCGGGGAACCAGGACUUUUACUUUGAAAAAAUUAGAGUGUUCAAAGCAGGCCUAUGCUCGAAUACAUUAGCAUGGAAUAAUAGAAUAGGACGUGUGGUUCUAUUUUGUUGGUUUCUAGGACCGCCGUAAUGAUUAAUAGGGAUAGUCGGGGGCAUCAGUAUUCAAUUGUCAGAGGUGAAAUUCUUGGAUUUAUUGAAGACUAACUACUGCGAAAGCAUUUGCCAAGGAUGUUUUCAUUAAUCAGUGAACGAAAGUUAGGGGAUCGAAGACGAUCAGAUACCGUCGUAGUCUUAACCAUAAACUAUGCCGACUAGGGAUCGGGCGAUGUUAUUUUUUGACUCGCUCGGCACCUUUACGAGAAAUCAAAGUCUUUGGGUUCUGGGGGGAGUAAUGGUCGC